AUGAAGCCCUUCGGGGUGGAUUAGUGGCGAACGGGUGAGUAACACGUGGGCAAUCUGCCCUUCACUCUGGGACAAGCCCUGGAAACGGGGUCUAAUACCGGAUGAUACUUCCACUCGCAUGGGUGGGGGUUGAAAGCUCCGGCGGUGAAGGAUGAGCCCGCGGCCUAUCAGCUUGUUGGUGAGGUAGUGGCUCACCAAGGCGACGACGGGUAGCCGGCCUGAGAGGGCGACCGGCCACACUGGGACUGAGACACGGCCCAGACUCCUACGGGAGGCAGCAGUGGGGAAUAUUGCACAAUGGGCGAAAGCCUGAUGCAGCGACGCCGCGUGAGGGAUGACGGCCUUCGGGUUGUAAACCUCUUUCAGCAGGGAAGAAGCGAAAGUGACGGUACCUGCAGAAGAAGCGCCGGCUAACUACGUGCCAGCAGCCGCGGUAAUACGUAGGGCGCAAGCGUUGUCCGGAAUUAUUGGGCGUAAAGAGCUCGUAGGCGGUCUGUCGCGUCGGAUGUGAAAGCCCGGGGCUUAACCCCGGGUCUGCAUUCGAUACGGGCAGACUAGAGUGUGGUAGGGGAGAUCGGAAUUCCUGGUGUAGCGGUGAAAUGCGCAGAUAUCAGGAGGAACACCGGUGGCGAAGGCGGAUCUCUGGGCCAUUACUGACGCUGAGGAGCGAAAGCGUGGGGAGCGAACAGGAUUAGAUACCCUGGUAGUCCACGCCGUAAACGGUGGGAACU
rnacentral:rRNA from 1 species